rnacentral:snRNA from 1 species
GUGCUCACUUCAGCAGCACAUACACUAAAAUUGGAAUGAUACAGAGAAGAUUAGCAUGGCCCCUGGCAAGGAUGACACACAAAUUUGUGAAGUGUUCCAUAUUAAA